rnacentral:rRNA from 1 species
UACAGAGGGGGCAAGCGUUGUUCGGAAUUACUGGGCGUAAAGGGCGCGUAGGCGGCCUGUUAAGUCGGACGUGAAAUCCCUCGGCUCAACCGGGGAACUGCGUCCGAUACUGGCGGGCUUGAAUUCGGGAGAGGGAUGUGGAAUUCCAGGUGUAGCGGUGAAAUGCGUAGAUAUCUGGAGGAACACCGGUGGCGAAGGCGGCAUCCUGGACCGACAUUGACGCUGAGGCGCGAAAGCGUGGGGAGCGAACAGG